CCAUAAUUUUUUUGUCACAUGCGCCGAAUACAACGGUGUGGACCUUAGAGUGAAAUGCUUACUUACAAACCCUGAGAUGCUGAGCCCUCAGGGGCAGUAAGUAAGAUAAGCCACUGGCGUGUGUGUGCGUAUCAUCACACAUGGUUGGCUUAGAUAUCGGUGAAUUAUACAUGUUCAGUGAAAUGAUCUCAUGUUACAGCCGUAGAGUGGAGAGGUCGAUGAAGACAGCACCUGACUUUGGUCGUCGUGUCCACAGGAUUACAUGUAAUGGGCGAGGUUACAUUUAUUUUUUGACGGCAUCACUGCACUUCUGUAAUUGAACGCGUGUUACCUAGAAAAAUAAUUAUAGCCAAGCUACCAUAAUGCACAUAAGUUGUCAUUUUCUUUCAAAUCCAAGGUGACUAUGCUACUGUCUCUUUUACAGUGACUCGCCCAACACCUCAGCAUCACAGGCUUCCUCCUCUAGUCUCAUAGGACUUCCUCUGGCUGCAGCCAGCCAGGCAGCCCAGAUGACACACGUUAGAUCAAGAAUAGAAAAAGAAUCCAGGCCUCCACAUCGGAUUACAUCUGACAAGCAACAUGGACCCAGAUUUGUCCACUCUGAAGAUCUUCCUUGGCUCACAGAACUUUUCCUUCCCUCUCUGUCAUCCAAAAAUGUUUCCGUACCAUAUGCAGCUAAAUGGAAACAGAUGCCCCUCGCGCCAGUGAAAGAAAGAGAGAGAAAAAGGAAUAAAAAAAUAAAAAAUUGAUUUACAGCGUCUAACAGUUCCAUUCAACAGUGCAUUAGCCUGCGCUACUAUGGGCUUCCACAAAAAACAUGGAUAAAUCGUAAUUAUCUCACACGCACACGCACACGCACACACACACACAGUCAAAGAAGGCACCCAUUCCUGUGUUUUACUUUUCAUAGCUAAUUCUUAGAGCAUUGUUACCAGCCAUCAGAACGUUGUAGCCUGAUCAACCUUUCACUUUUUAGGAACCAGGAAAUGGAUAAUCUUCGCAUGCCACCGAAGAAAAAAAUCUGUUGUUACUCAAGGCGGAGCUCUAGACUCAGGGACUGUCUCUAAUUUUAGCACCUGGAGUUCCAUAUAAGCAUACCAUAUAUUUUAGCCAUGACACACAGAAACAAUAAAUCCUAAAACCAAACACCAGACAUAGAGGCAAACACUAUGUUCUCAUGAUUUAAACGAGUCAGUCAUUUGAAAUGGUAAUCAGCUUUUUUAAUGAAAAUAGAGUGAGAGUAUUGACUCGGAAACAAAAUCAGAAGAAAAAAAAAUGUCAACUGAAGUAUACAUGCUUGUAAAACAUAGGUGUAUGUAUCUCUGUCAUUUUCUACUUUCCUUAUAGAAUGUAAUGAAACCGAAAACAUUUCAUGCGAACUGAAAUAACUUAAACAGCCCAUAAAUUGAUCCUGCACUUCCAUUUGCACAUGAGACCCCUCAUGUGCAAAUGUUUGUGAGGGAAUGAAUACAUAAUUGUAUUCUUAAAAAAACAUUGGUUCAACCAUUCUGCAGAGACUUUCUACAGAUCCCCAAAUAUAAUUAUGUUAGUGAUGUUUUUAUCACAAUUAUUUGAGAAUUUAUGGGCAUUCAAUUUUCUUUCCCUCCUUGCUGCUAUGUCUUUUGACUUGACUGACUCUAUGUCUAAGCCUUCUAAAAGUGACACCAAUAGUUUAAUCAAUAACAACGCCAACAACUUCAAUGCCCUCCACUGCCUUUAGCACCUUUUAUAUUUUAUAUGAUUAUGGCUCUCAUCUCCCGUUCAUUCUCCUGUGUGCACAGCCUUGAGCCCUGUCUGUUACAGCUCCUAUGGAAGGCUGAGUAAAUGUUUCCUCUUGUGCGGGAGCUCUGCUCCUGUAAAGGACAGCCGUUAUAUUUCUUAACCUCUACAGUAUAGAAACACAAAUAGAACUGUACAAUGGGGGAUGUCAGAGGAGUGCAGAUGACCAAACUCUGUAGGGAGUCAUGUACUGUAAGUGCAGGCUCUCAUCUCAACUGCUAGGAAUCAAUAUGUCAUUUCCUCCCUACCUGUCAGAAGUGUGCAGAGACCCAGAUCUAAGUUUUUCUUUUUUUUAUAUGUACAGUGCAAGGUAUGUGUGCUAUAGAUUCUGUCUUUGAAUUUAUCUUAACAAGUGCUACAUUGAUACGAAUUGGAAAUAUGUGUGGAAAUCCAGUUAUAUAAUGCUCUAUUCUUCAGCAAGUGCCUAUGUUUAGGUAACACUUUAUGUGAAGUUGCCCUUAUAGCCUACCUGUGUAAUAAAACAGUUAUUACUAUAGUUACAAUAUUGUAUUAGCAUGUUACUACAUGGUUAUUUAGUCAUUAUCUGUAGUUGUCUUUGUUGGAACCUGCAGAACUGUGAUUGGGUGUAGGCCUAAUGUUAUUAUAGUGUCCUUUCUUGUCCUGUGCGUGGAGGCUCAUAGUGACAGACAAAUGAAUAACAUGAGUAGAGAUAAACACUUCACUGUAGGCAUGUAUUGCAUGUAUGUGAUUGCAUAUUGUGUACUGGUAGCGGACGAGGUGAUUCUCCCUUGACAAUAUGAAGCACUUUUAACUCCUUGGAAAAGCUUGAAUGAAUCCAAUCCGUUAUUAUUCUAAUAGCAUAUGGCCUUCAAAAUUGCCCGAGAUGGCAAAUGUGAAUGUGCAAAUGUGCAUUUUUAUUGUCAUUUAUGAAAGCUGCAAUAGUAUUUACCAAGGUGUCUGUGGGGUUUUAUUGGUCAGCCCAGUUAUUUCCCCAUGUGUUUAGUGCUGGCUGUUUUCUUCAUUUGUCCCACACAAUUAAAUCGGGGAGGGGCUGUGGAUCUGUCUCCGUCCGUUAAUAUGUUCGUACGUUCGUCACACGCAAUAUCUCAGACAGCACUGGCCUGAUUAUGAUGAAACUUGGGUAAAUGAUGUGUCUUUACGCGGAGUACAAAAUUACACUGACCGACCAGAUGGUGGCGCUAUAACGAGUGAUUGAAAAUGCAAACCCCUCACUCCAUUUGACCUAAAGUCAUGAAAUUCAGUACAUAUGUCCCUCUCCUAUGUAAAAUUACUUCUGGUACCCUUUAGGUCCGCCAUUAUGUAUUUUCCGCCAUUUUGAAUUUUGUGGAUUUAUUUAAAAAACGCUACUCUGCUGGCACGGAAUGACCAAUCUGAAUAAAACUUGAUAUGUGGCAUCUAUGGAAAAAGGUCUCUCAACGCAACCUUUUUCCAGACUAGUACCUAAAACAAUAUGGUCGUUAUUGACCAAUAAACAAUCUGUCAAAACCUCAUUCUGGCGGCAGAUUAGCCUAGUGGUUAGAGCAUUGGACUAGUAACCGAAAGGUUGCAAGUUCAAAUCCCCGAGCUGACAAGGUACAAAAUCUGUCGUUCUGCCCCUGAACAGGCAGUUAACCCACUGUUCCUAGGCCGUCAUUGAAAAUAAGAAUUUAUACUUAACUGACUUGCCUAGUAAAAUAAAGGUAAAAUUAAAAAUU